UACAGAGGUCUCAAGCGUUGUUCGGAUUCAUUGGGCGUAAAGGGUGCGUAGGUGGCGUCGUAAGUCGGGUGUGAAAUUUCGGAGCUUAACUCCGAAACUGCAUUCGAUACUGCGGUGCUUGAGGACUGGAGAGGAGACUGGAAUUUACGGUGUAGCAGUGAAAUGCGUAGAUAUCGUAAGGAAGACCAGUGGCGAAGGCGGGUCUCUGGACAGUUCCUGACGCUGAGGCACGAAGGCCAGGGGAGCAAACGGG
rnacentral:rRNA from 1 species